GACGAACGCUGGCGGCGUGCUUAACACAUGCAAGUCGAACGAGCGGCGGACGGGUGAGUAAUGUCUGGGAAACUGCCUGAUGGAGGGGGAUAACUACUGGAAACGGUAGCUAAUACCGCAUACCAUCAGAUGUGCCCAGAUGGGAUUAGCUAGUAGGUGGGGUAAUGUCUCACCUAGGCGACGAUCCCUAGCUGGUCUGAGAGGAUGACCAGCCACACUGGAACUGAGACACGGUCCAGACGCCUACGGGAGGCAUCAGUGGGGAAUAUUGCACAAUGUGCGAAAGCCUGAUGCAGCCAUGCCGCGUGUGUGAAGAAGGCCUUCGGGUUGUAAAGCACUUUCAGCGAGGAGGCGUUACUCGCAGAAGAAGCACCGGCUAACUCCGUGCCAGCAGCCGCGGUAAUAC
rnacentral:rRNA from 1 species